rnacentral:rRNA from 1 species
AAGCGUCUUGUGAAAACCCCCGGCUUAACCGGGGAAUUGCUCGGCAAACUGCAUAUCUUGAGUCAAGUAGGGGUACAUGGAACUCUUAGUGGAGCGGUGGAAUGCGUAGAUAUUAAGAGGAACGCCAAUGGUGAAGACAGUGUACUGGGCUUGUACUGACGCUGAGGUGCGAAAGCGUGGGGAGCGAACGGGAUUAGAUACCCCGUAGUUCCACGCCGUAAACGAUGUCUACUAGCUUGUGCUUGUUCUGACACACUCACAGCCGAAGCAAAAGUGUUAAGUAGACCGCCUGGGGAGUACGGUCGCAAGGCUAAAACUGCAAAGGAAUUGACGGGGGCUCACACAAGCGGUGGAGCAUGUGGAUUAAUUCGAAGCAACGCGCAGAACCUUACCUGGGUUUGACAUGUAUGGAUGCCUGUCUGGAAACAGAUUCGGCUGCCCUCGGGUGAAACUUACACAGGUGCUGCAUGGCUGUCGUCAGCUCGUGUCGUGAGAUGUCGGGUUAAGUCCUUUAACGAGCGAAACCCUUGCCGUUAGUUGCCAGCGAGUAAUGUCGGGACUCUAGCGGGACUGCCGGUGUCAAACCGGAGGAAGGCGGGGAUGACGUCAAGUCCUCAUGGCCUUUAUGCCCAGGGCUUCACACGUGCUACAAUGGUCACUACAGAGCGAAGCGAGACCGCGAGGUGGAGCAAAUCGCAAAAAAGUGGCCUCAGUUCGGAUUGCAGGCUGUCAAC